rnacentral:piRNA from 1 species
UAAGAAAGCAGGUGCAAGGAAAUGGAUGU